GGCGAACGGGUGAGUAACACGUGGGUAAUCUGCCCUGCACUCUGGGAUAAGCCUGGGAAACUGGGUCUAAUACUGGAUAUGACCCUUCUCCUUAUGGGGUUUGGUGGAAAGUUUUUCGGUGUAGGAUGAGCCCGCGGCCUAUCAGCUUGUUGGUGGGGUGAUGGCCUACCAAGGCGACGACGGGUAGCCGGCCUGAGAGGGUGAUCGGCCACAUUGGGACUGAGAUACGGCCCAG
rnacentral:rRNA from 1 species